UAUUAGGUUGGUGCAAAAGUUAUUGCGGUUUUUGCUAUUUAUUUUAAUGAUAAAAACCACAAUUAUUUUUGUACCAACCUAAUAUUUA
rnacentral:miRNA from 1 species